rnacentral:rRNA from 1 species
GACGAACGCUGGCGGCGUGCCUAACACAUGCAAGUCGAGCGGAGCCAACCGAUAGAUCCCUUCGGGGUGACAUCGGGGAAGCUUAGCGGCGGACGGGUGAGUAACGCGUGAGUAACCUGCCCAUAAGAGGGGAAUAACACAGCGAAAGUUGUGCUAAUACCGCAUAAUAUGUUUUUACCGCAUGAUAGAAACAUCAAAGAUUUAUCGCUUAUGGAUGGACUCGCGUCUGAUUAGAUAGUUGGUGGGGUAACGGCUCACCAAGUCGACGAUCAGUAGCCGAACUGAGAGGUUGAACGGCCACAUUGGAACUGAGAUACGGUCCAG